UGGGGAAUAUUGCACAAUGGGGGAAACCCUGAUGCAGCGACGCCGCGUGGAGGAAGAAGGUCUUCGGAUUGUAAACUCCUGUUGUUGAGGAAGAUAAUGACGGUACUCAACAAGGAAGUGACGGCUAACUACGUGCCAGCAGCCGCGGUAAAACGUAGGUCACAAGCGUUGUCCGGAAUUACUGGGUGUAAAGGGAGCGCAGGCGGGAAGACAAGUUGGAAGUGAAAUCUAUGGGCUCAACCCAUAAACUGCUUUCAAAACUGUUUUUCUUGAGUAGUGCAGAGGUAGGCGGAAUUCCCGGUGUAGCGGUGGAAUGCGUAGAUAUCGGGAGGAACACCAGUGGCGAAGGCGGCCUACUGGGCACCAACUGACGCUGAGGCUCGAAAGUGUGGGUAGCAAACAGGAUUAGAUACCCUGGUAGUCCACACCGUAAACGAUGAUUACUAGGUGUUGGAGGAUUGACCCCUUCAGUGCCGCAGUUAACACAAUAAGUAAUCCACCUGGGGAGUACGACCGCAAGGUUGAAACUCAAAGGAAUUGACGGGGGCCCGCACAAGCAGUGGAGUAUGUGGUUUAAUUCGACGCAACGCGAAGAACCUUACCAAGUCUUGACAUCCUGCGACGAUGCUAGAAAUAGUAUUUUCCUUCGGGACGCAGAGACAGGUGGUGCAUGGUUGUCGUCAGCUCGUGUCGUGAGAUGUUGGGUUAAGUCCCGCAACGAGCGCAACCCUUAUGGUCAGUUACUACGUAAGAGGACUCUGGCCAGACUGCCGUUGACAAAACGGAGGAAGGUGGGGAUGACGUCAAAUCAUCAUGCCCUUUAUGACUUGGGCUACACACGUACUACAAUGGCGUUAAACAAAGAGAAGCAAGACCGCGAGGUGGAGCAAAACUCAGAAACAACGUCCCAGUUCGGACUGCAGGCUGCAACUCGCCUGCACGAAGUCGGAAUUGCUAGUAAUCGUGGAUCAGCAUGCCACGGUGAAUACGUUCCC
rnacentral:rRNA from 1 species